rfam:Microbacterium hydrocarbonoxydans strain SA35 RS84_contig000004, whole genome shotgun sequence.
AGCAGUGACACGGGGUGCCGCAUCCGCGGCUGAGAACAGACCCGUCGAACCUGAUCUAGUUAGCACUAGCGAAGGGAAUGUCGCAUGAGCGAUCU